AAAUCGUUGAUGUCUCUCCCAUUGGAUACCGUGGGAAAUCUAGAGCUAAUACGUGCAGUUUAUUGGUUCACUCUCGGGUGGGCCAAAGCAUUUAUUAGACUAAACCAUCUACUAUGCUCGCAUAGUAAGGGGAAUCUGGAUAACUUUGCUGAUCGUAUGGCCUUGUGCCGGCGACAUUUCAAUUGAGUUUCUGCCCUAUCAACUUGUUGGUAAGGUAUUGGCUUACCAAGGUUGCAACGGGUAACGGGGAAUCAGGGUUCGAUUCCGGAGAGGGAGCCUGAGAAACGGCUACCACAUCCAAGGAAGGCAACAGGCGCGCAAAUUACCCAAUCUAGACAGUAGGAGGUGGUGAAGAGAAUUACUAGGUGGUGACUCAAUGAGUUACCAGUUUGGAAUGAACGUAACUUAAGCAAUUCGAUGAGAAACAACUGGAGGGCAAGUCCUGGUGCCAGCAGCCGCGGUAAUUCCAGCUCCAGUAGUUUGCUUUAAAGUUGUUGCGUUUAAAACGCUCGUAGUUGGAUCACGCAGCAGUGCUCAGUAAUCUGCUACCAGACAAUCUUCCACGAAAGCCACUUUGUGGCGCUUCAGGAACUGUCGUCGGUGGUAGAUGCCAACGCUGAGCAUUGUUAGUUGCACGUGAGAUGAAUUGUUGGCCUUUAUUGAGCCGGUAUUCUCGUCUUGCGGAGUGUGCCUUGAAUAAAACAGAGUGCUUAAAGCAGGUCGUUGCCUGAAUGUUAUAGCAUGGAACGAACAAUCGUGUAUAUGUGUGCAUCCUUGAUCGGUGACGAGCCUUAGGCUUGUCGUUGGCCAGGACGCAUACGG
rnacentral:rRNA from 1 species